AAAGAGAGGCAUUUAAAAUCAUUACACUGAUAAACCUUAUGAGCAUUACUUCUGCAAAAAGUACAAUUAUUAUCAGAGAAAGAGUGUGAUGGUUGGUCAACUGAUGAGAAGAAAGAUGUUUUUGAUUGAGACCUGUUAUUAACCUUUUUAUCAUGAUCUGAAACAUUUAAUUUUUCCUGAAUAUCACACUUUUUCUCGAGAAAUUUAAAAAACUGUGAAAGGGUAGGUAAGGUCUUUGUCCCAAUAUCAUAUUCAAAGGCCCUAUGUGUAG
rnacentral:lncRNA from 1 species